ACCGUAUACGCAGCUUGCUGCGUGUAUGGUUAGUGGCAGACGGGUGAGUAAUGCAUAGGAAUCUACCUAGUAGUAUGGGAUAGCCACUAGAAAUGGUGGGUAAUACUGUAUAAUCCCUGCGGGGGAAAGAUUUAUCGCUAUUAGAUGAGCCUAUGUCAGAUUAGCUAGUUGGUGGGGUAAUGGCCUACCAAGGCGGUGAUCUGUAGCUGGUCUGAGAGGAUGAUCAGCCACACUGGAACUGAGACACGGUCCAGACUCCUACGGGAGGCAGCAGUGGGGAAUAUUGGACAAUGGGCGCAAGCCUGAUCCAGCUAUGCCGCGUGAGUGAGGAAGGCCUUAGGGUUGUAAAACUC
rnacentral:rRNA from 1 species